UGUGCGUCCUGCUGUCAAACUUCAGACGAGCCGGUAGCAAAGCCCGUGGUGAGCGUGUACCCGGCAGGACCCGGAGCCCACCUUGGGGGGAAGAGCUCCCUGCUGUGUCUGGCCUCAGCCAUGUUUCCUCCUCUGGUCCGGUUCUCCUGGAAAAGACGAAGGGAGAAUGGUCCUCUGGAGGAGCUGCCCCCUGCUGAGGGAGAGCAGCUGGAGAUCAGAGAGUCGGGACGCGCCGCCGCCGCCAUCUUGCUGAUCCAUCAGCAAGAGAGUGGCAAGUAUAAUUACCUCUGCUACGUCCACCAUGAGGGGGGGACAGUGGCGGCCCAAACAGAACAAGAGGUUUCUACUCUUCCAGCAGCUUCUGUCCCGUCUCAGUACCAAGUGAAGUUGUUCUGUCUGCUGUACGCACAGCUGAUAGUGAAGAGUCUGGUGUACUGCUGUGGACUCUCCCUGCUGAUGAUCCCCAGAAACAAGAGACCGUCCACCAACUGCGAAGGUGCCGACUGAUUUCUGCUUGCCCUUUUUUCACCACUGAAUCUCAUCAGUUCAUCAUUUAUACUUUGAUCAGUAUUCACGAAUAUCAAUUAUUAUUUGUGUUAGUUUUCAUCUUAACAAUA